AGCGAGCAAGUCAUUUGGGCGUAGGAAAUCACCGCAUGGUCCACAAACCGUGUUCAUUUGGUCCUGCGCUCUGGGGCCACAGUCUGCCUCUCCCUGAAGAUCUUCCUCUGUGUUCCCAGCUGCACAAGUAGCCCCAGAGCCCAUUGCUUUGUAUUGCCCAGCAAAUCCCUUCAGGUCUCAUGCAGCUGAUGUGUUCGGUUGCUAGCAAGUAGGAAGUGCCUGCACUGGGCAUCAGUGGCAUCGCAGAGAUGUUGAUGAGCCAAGAGAAGGCUACUGACCAAACAUAAGAGGAAUUGGGCACCUAAUCUUCUCACCUGAACUCUUCUGAAAAACCCUGCCAUCACUCAGCGCACCAAAUGCCGCUGGCACAGUGCCACUUCCAUCAGUGGCAUGUCUCGCUAGCAAACUUACCCAGAGUCUGUAACUGAAAACCACAAAGAGAGAGAGAGACAGAACUGGAAGAGAAGUUGUUCUUCAUGUCCAGGCAUUUGUAUACCAGGCCCAACACAUGGAUCCUUCAGAGGAAGACGUAUGCUGAGCCCUAAUGAAUUCAGCUAUGCAGUGAUGGUCUUAAUUGCUGAGAACCUGCAGUAGCAGAAGAACCCUUUCUACUACACUGACACCUGCAAAUCUCCAUCUAGAGGCAAGUUGGGGCAGUCCAGAGUAAAGACAGAAAAGCCACAGCACACUCAUGACCCUAUGAAGAAUAGCAACCACAGAGAGUCUGUUCAGGCACCCUAAAAUGAGGUGGAAUUCAAUUUCCCCCAGCUUCCCAGACAUAGCUAUGAGUUUGAAGUUGGAUUGGACUCCAUAUGGACUCCAGAAAAGAGAUCUGUUCCAACCUCAU